AUGUCAGGAACCACGUCUAAUGUCCAAAAAAGAGGACAUGCUCCCCAAAUCGCAGCUUCACCCACAAUGCUGCUCUCUCAGCUCCUCUCCCGGACCUUCUUCAGUGACCUGCACUGUCUCGGGACCGGCCCUGGGGGUCUGAUCAGGCGUGCCCACCUGGACGAGGCGCUUGACUCUCCCCAGCAUCGCUUAUCCCUGUGUGAGCAGCCUGAGCCUCGGGCAGGAGUGUACAGAAAACAAGCUCGACACCGGAUUCCACAUCCUGGGCCCUCUGAAAAAGACGUCCAUCCUGAAAUAGUUCAUUUAUACAAGAGAACAGAGCGGAAAGUCUUAAUACGGUAACGUGGACGCCCAGGUCCUGCUGCCCACGGAAGGACUAAGACGUGCCAGGACCAAUCACACCUCCCAGCGCCCCCUGCACCCAGCUCCCCUCCACGCCGCCCACCGGGAACCAGGGCCUCACCUUUCUCUCCAUCUCCCUGAGCUUCUCCUGCUCUGUGGUCUUACAGCCACACGGGAUGUUAAGAGGGAGUGUUCAUUAUAUUGAUGCUAGUCUCCUGUAACAAACCGGACAGCUUCUUCCUUGGAAUAAUUUUAUUUAUUUAUAUUUUUCGCUGCCCUGGGCUUUCGUCGCUGUGAGGGCUUUCUCUAGUUGCCGCAAGCGGGGACUACUCUGGUUGUGGCACACAGGCGUAUUUGCUCCGCAGCAUGUGGGGUCUUCCCGGACCAGGGCUGGAACUGUCCAGUCCCUGCAUUGGCAGGUGGGUCCUCGACCACUGAGCCACCAAGGAACACCCCCACCCCCACCACCAAACUGGACAGCUUGAGACAACAGAAAUGUAUUCUCUCCUAUCCUGGGGGCCCUAGACUUUUUGACCAAGUGCUUCCAUCACCAGAAAUCCGAAAUGAAGGUGUGAGCAGGGUUGGUUCCUUUGCGAGGCUCCGAGAAAGAUUCCCUCCCAUGCUGUUCCCUCAGCUUCCUGUGGUGGCCAAAACUCCUCGGCGUUCCUGGGCCCGAGGGCUUCCCUGGUGGCUCAGAUGGUAAAGAAUCUGCCUGCCAAAGCAGGAGUCACAGGAGAUCCCUGGGUGGGGAAGAUCCCCUGAAAGAGGAAAUGGCAACCCAUUCCAGUGUUCUUGCCUGGAGAAUCCCACGGGCAGAGAAGCCUGGCGGGCUACAGUCCAUGGGCUCGUAAAGAGGCAGACACAGCUGAGUGACGCACGCACGCACAUUCCUGGGCCACGGCCACGUCCCUCUGCCCUCUGCCUCCAUCCUCACACGCCUUCUCCCUGUGGGUCUGUGUCCUCUCCUCCUUUUAUGAGGACACAUUCACUCUACAUGGGG
ensembl:lncRNA